rnacentral:rRNA from 1 species
UACAGAGGUGGCAAGCGUUGUUCGGAAUUACUGGGCGUAAAGGGCGAGUAGGUGGCCAUCUAAGUCAGACGUGAAAUCCCCCGGCUAACCUGGGAACUGCGAUGGAGACUGCAAGGCUAGAAUCUGGCAAAGGGGGGUAGAAUUCCACGUGUAGGCAGUGAAAUGCGUAGAGAUGUGGAGGAACACCGAUGGCGAAGGCAGCCCCUGGGUCAAGAUUGACGCUCAUGCACGAAAGCUAGGGAGCA